rnacentral:rRNA from 1 species
UACGUAGGGACCAAGCGUUGUUCGGAUUUACUGGGCGUAAAGGGUGCGUAGGCGGCUUGUCAAGUCAGUUGUGAAAUCUCCGAGCUUAACUCGGAACGGUCAACUGAUACUGUCAUGCUAGAGUGCAGAAGGGGCAAUCGGAAUUCUUGGUGUAGCGGUGAAAUGCGUAGAUAUCAAGAGGAACACCUGAGGUGAAGACGGGUUGCUGGGCUGACACUGACGCUGAAGCACGAAAGCUAGGGUAGCAAACGGG